GGGUUGUGAGGUUAAGCGACUAAGCGUACACGGUGGAUGCCCUGGCAGUCAGAGGCGAUGAAGGACGUGCUAAUCUGCGAUAAGCGCCGGUAAGGUGAUAUGAACCGUUAUAACCGGCGAUUUCCGAAUGGGGAAACCCAGUGUGACUCGUCACACUAUCAUUAACUGAAUCCAUAGGUUAAUGAGGCGAACCGGGGGAACUGAAACAUCUAAGUACCCCGAGGAAAAGAAAUCAACCGAGAUUCCCCCAGUAGCGGCGAGCGAACGGGGAGGAGCCCAGAGCCUGAAUCAGCAUGUGUGUUAGUGGAAGCGUCUGGAAAGGCGCGCGAUACAGGGUGACAGCCCCGUACACAAAAGCGCAUGUGCUGUGAGCUCGAUGAGUAGGGCGGGACACGUGGUAUCCUGUCUGAAUAUGGGGGGACCAUCCUCCAAGGCUAAAUACUCCUGACUGACCGAUAGUGAACCAGUACCGUGAGGGAAAGGCGAAAAGAACCCCGGCGAGGGGAGUGAAAAAGAACCUGAAACCGUGUACGUACAAGCAGUGGGAGCNNGGGCGUUAAGUUGCAGGGUAUAGACCCGAAACCCGGUGAUCUAGCCAUGGGCAGGUUGAAGGUUGGGUAACACUAACUGGAGGACCGAACCGACUAAUGUUGAAAAAUUAGCGGAUGACCUGUGGCUGGGGGUGAAAGGCCAAUCAAACCGGGAGAUAGCUGGUUCUCCCCGAAAGCUAUUUAGGUAGCGCCUCGUGAAUUCAUCUCCGGGGGUAGAGCACUGUUUCGGCUAGGGGGCCAUCCCGGCUUACCAACCCGAUGCAAACUGCGAAUACCGGAGAAUGUUAUCACGGGAGACACACGGCGGGUGCUAACGUCCGUCGUGAAGAGGGAAACAACCCAGACCGCCAGCUAAGGUCCCAAAGUCAUGGUUAAGUGGGAAACGAUGUGGGAAGGCCCAGACAGCCAGGAUGUUGGCUUAGAAGCAGCCAUCAUUUAAAGAAAGCGUAAUAGCUCACUGGUCGAGUCGGCCUGCGCGGAAGAUGUAACGGGGCUAAACCAUGCACCGAAGCUGCGGCAGCGANNUGCUGGAGGUAUCAGAAGUGCGAAUGCUGACAUAAGUAACGAUAAAGCGGGUGAAAAGCCCGCUCGCCGGAAGACCAAGGGUUCCUGUCCAACGUUAAUCGGGGCAGGGUGAGUCGACCCCUAAGGCGAGGCCGAAAGGCGUAGUCGAUGGGAAACGGGUUAAUAUUCCCGUACUUGGUGUUACUGCGAAGGGGGGACGGAGAAGGCUAUGUUGGCCGGGCGACGGUUGUCCCGGUUUAAGCGUGUAGGUGUGUGUUCCAGGUAAAUCCGGUUCACUUUAACACUGAGGCGUGACGACGAGGCACUACGGUGCUGAAGCAACAAAUGCCCUGCUUCCAGGAAAAGCCUCUAAGCAUCAGGUAACAUCAAAUCGUACCCCAAACCGACACAGGUGGUCAGGUAGAGAAUACCAAGGCGCUUGAGAGAACUCGGGUGAAGGAACUAGGCAAAAUGGUGCCGUAACUUCGGGAGAAGGCACGCUGACAUGUAGGUGAAGUGAUUUACUCAUGGAGCUGAAGUCAGUCGAAGAUACCAGCUGGCUGCAACUGUUUAUUAAAAACACAGCACUGUGCAAACACGAAAGUGGACGUAUACGGUGUGACGCCUGCCCGGUGCCGGAAGGUUAAUUGAUGGGGUCAGCGCAAGCGAAGCUCCUGAUCGAAGCCCCGGUAAACGGCGGCCGUAACUAUAACGGUCCUAAGGUAGCGAAAUUCCUUGUCGGGUAAGUUCCGACCUGCACGAAUGGCGUAAUGAUGGCCAGGCUGUCUCCACCCGAGACUCAGUGAAAUUGAACUCGCUGUGAAGAUGCAGUGUACCCGCGGCAAGACGGAAAGACCCCGUGAACCUUUACUAUAGCUUGACACUGAACAUUGAGCCUUGAUGUGUAGGAUAGGUGGGAGGCUUUGAAGUGUGGACGCCAGUCUGCAUGGAGCCGACCUUGAAAUACCACCCUUUAAUGUUUGAUGUUCUAACGUGGACCCGUUAUCCGGGUUGCGGACAGUGUCUGGUGGGUAGUUUGACUGGGGCGGUCUCCUCCUAAAGAGUAACGGAGGAGCACGAAGGUUGGCUAAUCCUGGUCGGACAUCAGGAGGUUAGUGCAAUGGCAUAAGCCAGCUUGACUGCGAGCGUGACGGCGCGAGCAGGUGCGAAAGCAGGUCAUAGUGAUCCGGUGGUUCUGAAUGGAAGGGCCAUCGCUCAACGGAUAAAAGGUACUCCGGGGAUAACAGGCUGAUACCGCCCAAGAGUUCAUAUCGACGGCGGUGUUUGGCACCUCGAUGUCGGCUCAUCACAUCCUGGGGCUGAAGUAGGUCCCAAGGGUAUGGCUGUUCGCCAUUUAAAGUGGUACGCGAGCUGGGUUUAGAACGUCGUGAGACAGUUCGGUCCCUAUCUGCCGUGGGCGCUGGAGAACUGAGGGGGGCUGCUCCUAGUACGAGAGGACCGGAGUGGACGCAUCACUGGUGUUCGGGUUGUCAUGCCAAUGGCACUGCCCGGUAGCUAAAUGCGGAAGAGAUAAGUGCUGAAAGCAUCUAAGCACGAAACUUGCCCCGAGAUGAGUUCUCCCUGAGACUU
rnacentral:rRNA from 1 species